rnacentral:rRNA from 1 species
AGAACGAACGCUGGCGGCAGGCCUAACACAUGCAAGUCGAGCGCCCCGCAAGGGGAGCGGCAGACGGGUGAGUAACGCGUGGGAAACUACCCUUUGGUACGGAACAACUCGGCGAAAGCUGAGCUAAUACCGUAUGUGUCCUUCGGGAGAAAGAUUUAUCGCCAAAGGAUGUGCCCGCGUCGGAUUAGCUAGUUGGUGGGGUAAACGGCCCACCAAGGCGACGAUCCGUAGCUGGUCUGAGAGGAUGAUCAGCCACACUGGGACUGAGACACGGCCCAGACUCCUACGGGAGGCAGCAGUGGGGAAUAUUGGACAAUGGGGCAACCCUGAUCCAGCCAUGCCGCGUGAGUGAUGAAGGCCUUAGGGUUGUAAAGCUCUUUCGCCCGCGAAGAUAAUGACUGUAGCGGGAGAAGAAGCCCCGGCUAACUUCGUG